ACUCCAGCGUUGAAAGGCCAAGUCAAGCCGCCGGCCUGAUGUAACAGCGCCCCCUGCAGGGGAAGGGGUGGCCUGCGGACCGCUGACCUUGGGCAGUAGUGCCCCCUGCAGGAGCGCGUUAGGCGUCCGCAGUUCGUGGCUGUUUUCUUGGGUGAAGCUGGGACGCGAGCUCUGGGCUGAUUUAUUAUACGGGGUGGAGAGGAGAGAUUCCAGUGUGGCAGGGGCCUGUGCAAAACAAUGCCCCUGUGGCUGGGUGUGUGGCCUGUGUUUGCGUGGCCCCAUGAUUUACCAGGAGAGGCUGCGGGAACUGGGGUUAUUUAGUCUGCAGAAGAGAAGAGCGAGGGGGGAUUUGAUAGCAGCCUUCAGUUACCGGAAGGGGAUGGAGCUCGGCUGUUCUCAGCGGUGGCAGAUGACAGAAGGAGGAGGAAUGGUCUCAUGUUGCAGUGGGGGAGGUCUAGGCUGGAUAUUUUAAGGUCAGGCUUGACAAAGCCCUGGCUGGGAUGAUUUAACUGGGAAUAGGUCCUGCUUUGAGCAGGGGGUUGGACUAGAUGACCUUCAGGGGUCCCUUCCAACCCUGAUAUUCUAUGAUUCUAUAUUAGGAAACACUAUUUCACUAGGAGGGUGGUGAAGCACUGGAAUGCGUUACCUAGGGAGGUGGUGGAAUCUCCAUCCUUAGAGGUUUUUAAGGCCCAGCUUGACAAAGCCCUGGCUGGGAGGAUUUAGUUGGGGGUUGGUCCUGCUUUGAGCAGGGGGUUGGACUCGAUGACCUCCUGAGGUCCCUGCCAACCCUGAUAGUCUAUAUUAGUACACUAAUGUCUGGUGCCUAAGCAGCAGCGCAGGGCAGAGGAAGGAUGCACGAUACAGCCAGUGUGGACAAGGCCAAAGGAGGGAUUGCAGAGUGUGGGAGGUGAUCCUGUCACUUCACAGACAAAGGACAGGUCCCUGGUACAGGAAGUUUACAAUCUGGAUCAGAUUGAACACAGUGAACCGCUGCGGCAGAGUGACGGAGCAAGCCGUGGGAGAAUGGAGUCACAACAGAUGGGAAGGAGCUGAUGGGACAUCUGAACACUUCCACCGGCUGUGCUGAAGUCGUUGAAGUCGUACCGGAAACUCCAGGCCAGCUAGAAUGAGCAUCUGUCCCAUACGUGGUCCGGCUCCAACAGUCUAUGUGAAUUUGCUGCCCUGGGGCCGCUGGCCACUCGGAAGGAUGCAGAGGAGCACGCUCAGAUGCAACCUUGAGAUCUCAGCCCUCUGUGUUAUCACCGGCCAAAAGACUCAAAGAAUCAGAAAGAGGCCACGUAGAAGCAAGGAAGACAUGUUGCUUGAAGUAAUGCAGCAUUCAAGUCAUGAAAAUUGAAAAGUCCCGGACUCGCGGGACAGUGAAAGGAGGAUCCGCCAGCAGAAUGCGGCACGCCGGCACAAAAAGCGCGGUGCUCCGGCAGCAAAGCCCGGAUCGGCUGAUAAGCAUAAUGGAGCACCAAGCGGACUCGAUCCAGGCGCUCGUAGCCAUGCAGGCAGAGCACCGACCCCCCACCCCCGCCGCCCUUGUCCCAAAACUCCUUCCCUUGUGCCCCCAUGUCACCUCCAACCCACUUUCCCCAACAUCUCGGUUCUUACCGCCACCAGCUGCCUCCAACACCUGUAGCUUCACCACCCAGCCCUGCAAACUGCCCACCGCACUCAGCCCCCGUCACCAGGCAGCAGAGCCAGCCCGAAGUGCAGCACUCGUUGCACAGCACUCCAGGCAGGAAGGCUGAGUAUGAGAACAGGACAUACGCAAAUCUGUGAUUGUACCGUUCCCCACCCCACCCCCUUGCCCUUUCUGUUUCCCAAGCGGUCGUGUUUCUUUUCAAAAAAUGGAUUUUUUGGCUUUAAAAACAUUCUUUAUUAUUGCAUAAAGUAAAAGAUACUUAGCCCAGGAAAGCAACAGGCACCACAAGUCAGCGGAGCAAACACAGAUUCCUACUAACGUUGGAACCACUGCACUUCACGCCCGUGCAGGGCACCAGACAUUACUGGUGGCUUUCAGCCUCAAAUUGCUCCCUCGAGGCAUCCCUAAUUCUUGCAGCCCCGCGCUGGGCCCCUCUAAUAGCCCUGCUCUCUGGCUGUUCAAAUUCAGCCUCCAGGUGUUGAACUUUCAAGUUCCAUGCCUGAGUGAAGCUUUCACCCUUCCCUUCACAAAUGUUAUGGAGGGUACAGCACACAGAUAUAACCGCGGGGAUGCUGUCAUCGGCCAGGUCCAGCUUCCCAUACAGAGAGCACCAGCGGCCCUUUAAAUGGCCAGAAGCACACUCCACAGUCAUUCUGCACUGGCUCAGCCUGCUGUUGAACCGCUCCUUGGUGCUGUCAAGGCUCCCUGUGUAGGGUUUCAUGAGCCAUGGCAUUAAAGUGUAAGCAAGGUCUCCAAGGAUCACAAUGGGCAUUUCGAUUUCCCUUACGGUGAUCUUCUGGUCUGGGAAGAAAGUCCCGUCUUGCAGCUUCCUGAACAGGCCAGUGUUCCAAAAGAUGCGUGCGUCAUGCACCUUUCCGGGCCAGCCUGCGUUAAUGUCAAUGAAACGCCCACGGUGAUCCACAAGCGCCUGGAGACCAUAGAGAAAUACCCCUUCCGAUUAACGUACUCGGAGGCUAGGUGGGCUGGUGCCGGAAUUGGAAUAUGUGUGCCAUCUAUCGCCCCUCCGCAGUUAGGGAAACCCAUUUCAUGCACAUUACCCAGAGUCACGGUUCUUCUGAGCAGGAUGUGAUUAAUGGCCCUGCAAAUUUGCAUCAACAUGAUUCCAACGGUCGACUUUCCCACUCCAAACUGGUUAGCAACUGAUCGGUAGCUGUCUGGAGUUGCCAGCUUCCAGAUUGCAACAGCCACCCGCUUCUCCACCCUCAGGGCAGCUCUCAAUCUUGUGUCCUUGCGCCGCAGGGCGGGGGCGAGCUCCUCACACAGUCCCAUGAAAGUGCCUUUUCUCAGCCGAAGGUUCUGCAGCCACUGCCCGUUAUCCCAGAUGUGCCUGACGAUGUGAUCCCACCGCUCAGUGCUUGUUCCCG